UGGGGAAUAUUGCACAAUGGGCGCAAGCCUGAUGCAGCCAUGCCGCGUGUAUGAAGAAGGCCUUCGGGUUGUAAAGUACUUUCAGUCGGGAGGAAGGUGGUAAGGUUAAUAACCUUGGCAAUUGACGUUACCGACAGAAGAAGCACCGGCUAACUCCGUGCCAGCAGCCGCGGUAAUACGGAGGGUGCAAGCGUUAAUCGGAAUUACUGGGCGUAAAGCGCACGCAGGCGGUUGAUUGAGUCAGAUGUGAAAUCCCCGGGCUUAACCCGGGAAUUGCAUCUGAUACUGGUCAGCUAGAGUCUUGUAGAGGGGGGUAGAAUUCCAGGUGUAGCGGUGAAAUGCGUAGAGGUCUGGAGGAAUACCGGUGGCGAAGGCGGCCCCCUGGACAAAGACUGACGCUCAGGUGCGAAAGCGUGGGGAGCAAACAGG
rnacentral:rRNA from 1 species